rnacentral:rRNA from 1 species
UACGUAGGGUGCAAGCGUUACUCGGAAUUACUGGGCGUAAAGCGUGCGCAGGCGGCUUUGCAAGACAGAUGUGAAAUCCCCGGGCUUAACCUGGGAACCGCAUUUGUGACUGCAUAGCUGGAGUACGGCAGAGGGGGAUGGAAUUCCGCGUGUAGCAGUGAAAUGCGUAGAUAUGCGGAGGAACACCGAUGGCGAAGGCAGUCCCCUGGGCCUGUACUGACGCUCAUGCACGAAAGCGUGGGGAGCAAACAGG